UACGGAGGGUGCAAGCAUUAAUCGGAUUUAUUGGGCGUAAAGGGCGCGUAGGCGGGGGAUAUAAGUCAGACGUGAAAUCCCGAGGCUCAACCUCGGAACUGCAUUUGAAACUGUAUCUCUCGAGGAUAGGAGGAGAAAACGGAAUUCCACAAGUAGCGGUGAAAUGCGUAGAUAUGUGGAAGAACACCGGUGGCGAAGGCGGUUUUCUAUCUUAUUCCUGACGCUGAUGCGCGAAGCAAGGGGAUCAAACAGG
rnacentral:rRNA from 1 species